rnacentral:pre_miRNA from 1 species
AAUAAACCAGUUUUUCAUUUUUUACCUAUAAUUUUUGACUUUUCGUCUUAUUCAAAUUUUUUAUGAUUGAUAUUUUUGUUUUUAUUAUAUAAUAAAUCAUGAAUAGUACUUUACGUAUGACUAAUUUUUUUUAAUUUUCUAAAAAAUUUUCAAAUAAGACGGAUAGUUAAAUGUUGGACACGGAAACU